UACGAAGGGGGGCUAGCGUUGCUCGGAAUUACUGGGCGUAAAGGGCGCGUAGGCGGACAGUUUAGUCAGAGGUGAAAGCCCAGGCUCAACCUUGGAAUUGCCUUUGAUACUGGCUGUCUUGAGUUCGGGAGAGGUGAGUGGAAUGCCGAGUGUAGAGGUGAAAUUCGUAGAUAUUCGGCGGAACACCGAUGGCGAAGGCAGCCCCCUGGGUCAAGACUGACGCUCAU
rnacentral:rRNA from 1 species